rnacentral:lncRNA from 1 species
AUCAGGCCAGUAAUUCUCUCUGAGCUACUCUACACAUCAGGAAAAACAGAUCACUGACAUCCACUGUAUGAUGUCUCUUCAACCACACAGGCAAAAGCAGAUGCAGCUAAAGCAAGAAGGUCAGCAGCUACUUCAUUUGGGAGUCUUUCCAGGCUAAAAGUGACUGGUGUGCCAUGACACGUGUUCAUUUUUCAGGUGGCUGUAAAACAUCUACUGAAGUGGCCAUGGACUCUUACUAUGAUCUUCAGAUUUUAAAGCCAAAAAGAAGCAAUUUUUAGAACUAGUAUUUGUUUUUACAGAACAGUGAUCGGCAGUGUUGAAGAGUGCAGUGAUGCAAUGCCAUACAAAGCUUUAUCUCAAGAAAUGGAUUCAACAGCCUUGCCUUUCCGUAUUAAAUUUUAGAGAUUUGAGAAAAAUCACCGGACUUCCACCCAGCAGAAAUCAGGUGAAAGCUUCUUCACUGGCAGACAAGGAAGAGAGGACUUGAGAAAGAGUUGUAGAAUCAUUGAGUAUCCCGAGGUGGAAGAGACUCAUAAGCAUCACUGAGUUAAAACACAAUCAGGACCCAUGACAGCAGGGCUGACUCAGCUGCUUAGCAUGGAAAAUCACCAAAAAUAUUCCACCCUGAGAGCUGAUAAAAGACACAAAGCACUUAAAAAGCCUCAGAUGUAAGAAGUGCCAAAGUCACUUCUGUUGGCAGGCUUUGAAGAUAACUGGCCAUCAGUCAGAAGAUGACUAAAGAAGACACGCUUGCAUCUGGUAAUGCAACAAAACUUCCUCAGUGCUUCUUUCCUCCUCCUCCUGCUGUGCAGGGUGAUGUGGAGCAGCUGCCUCUGUGGCUGCUCUCUGUGCUUAUCAUGUGCAAGCAGUUAAACACUUCCCAGCGUGGAGAAGCGGUGCAGUCUCCUUGGCUGAAAUCUGCCUCCUGCAUGGCAAUGCAGAGGGGGAGGGAGGGCUGGGCUGAGGCAGCCUCACACCUUCACCAUUUCAUGCCUGAUCAGUUGCACCCCACUGUGCUGGAAAAUAUGUUAUGCCAAACUAAUCCUAUUCUGAGAAAACAUUUCAGGGGCAACUGCCAUACCUGUGAUAUUUCAAAUACGAGUUUGGAAUUCACACCUUAUCAGGAAGAGCACACUGACUUUCGUAGUAGUUGUCUGGUGAGUUUGGGUACAGCAGCACAAAUGUUUACUUACACCGUGUUCAGAGAUGAUAAACCACAGCUGCUAACAGAUUGCUAAUUAAAUCUUAGUUAAGCUUUGUCCUUCCCGCCUUUGUGCAAACCUUUAGCAUUUAAGAAUGCAAUUUGCAUGCACAGAGGCAGCAAAGGAAGCGCUGUUUUGGUAAUAAGAUGAGGAGGUGCUCUCUCCACAUUCAGGCUUUAUCUGCCACAGAGGUGCUGGUUCCUGGGAUUCAUUGCUGCUGCUUAUUCAGGCGCUCAGAGGUUUGUGCUGCAUAUUAAUUUCUGUCCAACACGGGAAUUCAAUUUGUGCCGUACAUUUCAUUUCUUCACAGAUUUAGAUUUAUUUCAUGUUCUCUGCUUUUAAUUAACUCUCUGGCACAGCUGCUGGACAGGAUAUAAAAACUCAUUGCUCUCCCCGCGCUGUGUGUACACCACCAAUCAUUUGCCACUUAGAUGGUGGUGCAGGAGCAAUCAGUUUCCAUGGCAACCCAGGCCCCAUUGAUUGAUUCCUUGCCAGUGUGGCAUCACCACGCGGAGCGAGGCUUGUGAUUUUUGCAUGCGUGCAACAUCCAUCUAAUUAAAAUGGGAUUAGAGAUUCAUCCCUGUAUGUGUUCAACAACUGCACUGCAAUCCAUUUAUGUAAAUGUCAACUCUAUUCAGCACCGUCAUCGGAGUGUUGAUGAAGAAACAGUUGCUUUGCUUCAGUAUCUUGCAGUGGGUGGGGGAAAUGGAAAGAGUAAAAUGUACACAGCCUUUUUUUGGCUAUUAGAAAAAAAUAAUAAAAUAAAGCCAUUCACUGAUGCUCAAAAGUUAUGAAAAUAGUAACCUGUUUCCAAAUCUGCAUUAGAA